GUAAUGAAAUGGCAAUUGGAUCUUUCCGUAUUGUCUCUUCCAUCUUUUUCUCCAAGUCGGCAACAUUUGGGAUAUUAAACAUGCGCGUCUCUGCGGCAACUGAUACGGCAACAACAUGAAUGAUGUCAUGCAUUUUAACUUCAUCUUCAGCAUCACCGUCCAACAAUAAGCAUGAAGAUUUGAGAUUGUCGAUCAACCGAUGCACCCUACUCCUUGCUUCUUCCAAUGUGUAAACAUUUUCAAACAAACCCCAACCCACACCAUAUCUCAAUAAGUAAGGAACUGGUAUAGCAUGACCUUCACUGUAUAGACCACAAAGACGGAACAUAGAUUUUGCUUCCUCACUUCUCAAGAAGUCGUAACUCAAUUUUAUGGAGAGGUACACAUUUUUUUCCAUUCCAUCAAUUUCUUUUGCAUAGGAACUUCUUAGCUGACGCAGCACAUCUUUCCAAGUGUCAAGGCUCUCAUUUUUCAAAGCUUUUGCAAGUGUAAUCAGUGCAACCGGCAGUUCUCCGCAUCUUCCGACGAUCUCAUGUGCUAUAGGUUGAAAAGCAGAUGUUUUCAUUGAAUCACCCACUAUCUUCUGAAAUAAAUGCAAUGCUUCUUCUUUUGAUAAAGCAUCGAUCUGGAUCUCUUUCUGAGAAUUCAUAACAUUGCGCAAUAAAUCUUGACGUCUAGACGUCAGUAUUAUUGUGCAUCGUCGCUGAUCAUCCAUUCUUUCUUUCUUAACAUCCCCGGAAGGAAUUCCAACUUCAUCGAACUUCAGUUCUCCCCAAAUAUUAUCCAAUAUAAUGAGAUGCCGCUCCUCGUUCUUCAAAACUCGACAUAGUCGAUUUGCUCUGUCGAAUAUACUCUCAUUCAACUCAAACUUUAUGCCUAAAUCAGAAGCAAGUUUGUCUUGAAUUUUCUGAUGAUCUGGGUUCUCUGUUACCUCAGCCAUAGCGACCUUAUCGAACAACUUAUCUUUUUCCAUCACUCGCUUUGCAACUUGCUUGACGAGCGUGGUUUUACCCACGCCGCCCAUCCCGUAGACCCCAAUAAUGUUGAGCUUAUCAUCCUUCAACGCCUCCACAACAUCUUGAAAUACUUUCAUUCUUGAAUCAAAGGCCUCGUAAUCUUUCACUUGCAAAUGUUCUGUACUCUCUGGAGCAGGAAGGUAGGAAACUUCCCUGAAGUCGCCUUCUUUUAUGAGACUAUCGGCUGCUUCUUUGUCCAUUGCAGCUUGUUUACUAACCCUGUAACGAGAAAUCAAAUUUGGGCACAAUCCAUCUUCAGUAUCAAUGAUGGGUUUUUCAAUCAAUCCAUCAACUUUUUUAAGCCAGAUUUCGACGUCAUCAAAAAUCUUAUCUCCUUGUCGAGUAGCCUGAUCAACGGCUUUUUCCACCCUUUGUCUUUCUUGUUUCAGCUUCUCCACUUGUUCUUUUAGCCCAUCGAUGUUGCUUUUGUACUCUGGCACAUAAGAUAUUGGUCGUAUAAUAAGUUCGAACAAUGUCUUUGCACCACCGGAUACAAUGCUGGAAAUAGCAUUGAGACACCCUUGUGCAGCCAUUGCGAGACACCCUUCUGCAGCCAUUGCCUGUUGCUAAACAAUAUAUAUAUAUAUAAAUAAAAGUGUCAAAGAAAUGAAUACAAAUAAAUUAAAAUGAACUAGAGGGAAAGACAGAGAAAGGAAAGACCGCAAACAACAUCGCGAUAUUGAUAUUGAACCAACUGAUACCUAAAUAGAGAAUUUCUUUUUCCAUCUUAAGGAUCAGAGGUUUCGCUAUUAACAGAAAGGUAUCCUUCAAGGAAAGUUGAUGGAAAUUAAGAAAGAACCGCUAUCAAUAUCAAGUAUUCUGCUACUAAAAAUAAAUGAUAUGACUUAAGAAAAAUAAAUGAUAUGAUUAAGAAAAACCAGAGAAUUUUUUCCUCGGAAAGUUGAUGGAAAUUAAGAAAAAACCGCUAUGAAGAACAAGUAUCAGAGAUUCUGCUACUAAAAGAAUAUUACAGGUUUUAGAACAAGUGCACCUCUUUACCUGUCUCGGAUCAGAGUUGAUGAGCUGCUGUAUUCACCUUGAAUAUAGAAGAAAAAUUUUAUUGAGCAAAAGGAUCUCUGUUGACUAAAGAGGAAUGCGAGUAACGAGUUGAUGAGAGUAAUAACAAUGAAUUUCCAAAAGAAGACGACUUGAGCAUUAAGCACGCAUCCCUUUUUCAAUCAAAUACUGGUACGUAUGUCCGUAGGGACCAUUAUGCGUAUACGAAGUCUAUUAGUUGCAAUCAGAAGCCCCGGCCCAAUUUAAUUGACACUCGAUUUUUGAUAAGAAGAAGGCAAGGAUAAGGAUAAAGUCAAUCAAUCACCAACAGUAAUUACUUCAAUCUUUGUCAAUAUACUUAAAUUGUCGAUCAACAUGAAAAUUGUUUAAAUUGAUAUUUGUAAAUGAAUCAAUUUUCUAGUUACUAUGAUUAUAACGUUUCACCUUUCAUAUUGGAUUUUAUCUUUUCAAAAGUUUUCAAAUGUGAGUUUCAAUAAUUAUUGAGACUCCAAGCCGUGCUCUCAAGAUUGUGCUGACAAAUCACCAUUAGCUUUAUUUAUGCAUAUUUCAAAGAAAAAAAAAGUUAUGGUUUGUAUUGCCAGCCCUGCUACUUUUUGUUUUUUUUCAUUUGUAUUAUUUACGAAUUAUUUUUUAACAGAAACAUGAGAACUCUUCAUCGUACAAAAUUGCAUGAAAAAACCUUCAAAUUUAUAAAAGUAAAUUUCAUUGACAGAUUGUGGAUAUGUUUGCAAGAAUAAGGAUAAGAAUGAGUUAAGAAAUUAAAAAAAAAAAAAAAGAUAGUGUAAGUAAACAAUGUUUUGGUACAUUUGGUAUUGUUUUCAAAAUAUUUUGAAAAGAAAAAUUUUCAAUCAUCCACCUAAAAAUUAUCUUAUUAUCCAAAAAGUUAUAAAAAUUUAAAUAUACUUAAUUUUAUACCCAUUAUUACAAUGUGUAUAACUGUUUACUAAAAAUUUAAAUAUACUUAACGGAUGUUUAAUACAAAUUGCAUACAUUGGGUGUAAAAUUAAAUAAAUUUAAAUUUUAUAAUAAUUUUAAUAACUGAAUAAACUUUGAGUAAAUGACUGAUAAUUUUUCUUUUAUAAGCUAUAAGAAGUCAAAUAAAAAAUAGGAUGAUAAUUUCUGAUGGGUGUCGAAGCCAACAAAAAUAAAUUCCUACUCUAAAUAAAUUGUGUAUAGUGAUUGAGCAGGGUCGUGUCCACAGAGAUCGGUAAUUAUUUAAAUCCUUUUGAAACGUAAAACGUAAAAUGAGGGAAUUGUUGACAAUAAUAAAAAUCAAACUAAAAUAACGAGAAUGUAAAUUAAAGUUGUGAUUCAAAUUGGAGAAAGCUCUGGUUGAAGGAAUUAACUCAGCUUGAUUCGACUACUGAUCAUUGAUUCAAAUAUAGAUUAUUAUUACUUAUGAAUAGACCGGUUAUAGCUACUGAGACCCUCUAAUAGCCAAUCUCUCCUUAACUAGUCGAUAACCAAAGUACGACCGUUGGUUAUUUCCCUAAUCAAUAGACAACCCUAGAUACGAUCAUAUGAUUUAAUCAAUUGACAGCCUGAAAAACCAGAGAGACCCAAAUCCUAAUCAACACAUAUGAUGAUUCAUUUAAAUUAGAUUGUUUAUUCUCACAACACAACUCUCUGCUAUGUUAUUUGUCACAAACAUUAAAUUCUUCAUACGAUGAAUCCUUUAAUUGACAAUAGAUUAAGUUGAUAAUUAAAUAGUGGCCAAUUACCUAAUUAACAAACAUAAUCAUGAAAAUAAUUCAGAGAAUAAACAAAUACCCAAAAGCAAUAAAACAAUUAAAGCACAAGAAAGAUCUCACAGUACUGAUGAAUCAAAGCUUCAUUAUCCUUCAACCAGAAAAAUGGGUUUAGUUCCUCAUAGAGAGAAGAGAAAAAUUAGAUCUAGGGUUUCUUUUUCUCCAAUCCAAAAAUCCCCUUUUUUCACAAUAGAUUCCUCCCUUAAAUACUCUCUCUCUCUUCUCUUUUAGAGUUCUAUUUAAAAUAAAAUACUAAUAUCUGAAAUAUUAAAUUCGUAAUUACAAAAAUAGCCAAAAAUACAAAACACGUUAAACUCAAAACUGCAGGUUCGCAGUUGACAGCACGCGCCCACGCCUUAUCAACAAAGUUCUUCUGCCGCUCAUAAUUUCUCCAAGAGAACAAUCAUCCUUAAACAUCAUCUUAUAGCUCAAUUUUAUCACCAAUUAAUAGAAUUGCACCUACAAAAGUAAAACACAAGUAAAUCACUAUUAUUAAGUGCAAAACAUCGAUAUUAAGGGAAGUAAACAAUGCAAAACUAGUGCAUAAAUUGCACUCUAACAAUUUCUCUUUUAUAUUGCUCAGAUGAUUUAUUGUUUGGGGACUAAGAUUUUAAGUAUUCAACUUAAAAGAUUAAUAUAUUAUAAAUUGAUUAAUUAAUUAAUCAUUAAGCAACUAAAUUGGGUCCCUGGAUGUCAAUUCCUUUAAUAUUGAUGCAACAACCUUUUUUUGGCAAAUAAUUGUUAAUGCACUUACGGAACUUUUGCGUGUCUACACAGCGAGUUCCAGGACAUUUUCGCAUUGUGCAACAAUUGCUAAUAGCACCUUUUUACGAUUAAUUUAUAAUAUAAUUUCAGUAAAGAUAGAAAUACAAAUUUUAUAUAAAUUGAUAUGAUAUUACUUAAAAACAUUUCAUUGCUCACAUGAGUUACUGCUGAAGCCUAUGAUUUUAGAUACUCAACCCAAAAGAUUAGCCUAUUGAGAGGAGGGAGGUCUAUGAUUUUAGAUACUCAACCCAAAAGAUUAGCUUCUUGAGAGGAGGGACCACUUGUAUUUAUUAGGAAUGGGCAUCAGAUCAGAUUUGGGUUGAUUUGAUCCGAUCCGAUAUGAGCUAAUCUUAUUUGGAUUGGAUUCGAAUUUAGCUCUAAAUCUGAUGGGAUAAGAAUGUUGCAAUCUGAUCAGAUCCGGAUCAAUACGAUCGAUUGCACUUACAAUUAAAAAGAAUACAAAACUUAAAUAUAAAUAAGAAAUAAAAAUUAAAAGACAACCCUAAAUCCCUAAAUCCUUAAAUUUCCCAAAUCAAAACAGAAAGAAUCAAAAAAAGCAACUCAGCCGCAUGCCGACAUUAGCGACGAACCCAGCCAUUCUCUUGAGAAAUAGUUGGCCAGUGUCACGAUCGGUUCCAAUGGCUUGACCACGUCCCCUUCCUCUAGCUCUUCCUCGAGCUAUGUUGUAGUGGCAAAGAAUAACGAUGGAGAAAUAAUGAUAGAACAGCUAACAAAGAAUUUAGUUUGAUUCUCAAUGAUCCUUUUAUUGAAUAAAUUAUGCUCAAUUUAUACACUACUAACUGCAACUUGACAACAAAAGCGCAACUCACAACCAGAAAAUAGCAACAGCAACUAAGAAAUAGCAAGUAAAUCAGAUUCUUGCCUAUUAUUCGGACUAGUGACCCACUACUUUGACUGACUCAACAAAACAAAUAAACUAAAAUGCUGACUCAUGACAGCCAGUUGCAAAGCCGAUGAUGCCCGAGCUGCAUGCCGAUGACGUCCCAGCCGACAGCUGCUGGGCCAGUGACCCGUACAUUGCAAAAGUCCUAAACCUAGUCGUUGCAUUUAUUUGUUUGUUGCAAAGGUUUCAAAUGGAGUCGGAUCCAUUAAAGCUUUUGAGGUGCAGAGGUUAUAAAAAUAGAAUAGAUACUUUGAAAAACUUGCAGAGGUUUGCGUCGUUUGAAUUGCUUGUGAACUUAUUUUUGCAUGCAUGUUAUUCUCUAUGCUUUUUGGUGAUUGUAAAAUUAAUUGUUUGAUUUAGCUUUCCAACUUUUGGGAUGCAAUUGUUACUGGUGUUCUCAACAAAAUAAUUGAUGUGAAAAUGGACGAACUUUCAUUUUUUGUCUUUGUUCUUCCAUUUGCUAGCUUGCUGCAUUUUUUUCUUAAUUUCUAUGAUUUUUCAAUUUUGUAUUUCAACUUGCAAGUGAUUGAGAUUCAUCUGAUUUAUUCGAACACAUCUGAUUCCAAUUUCAGUAUGAUAUUAUCGAUCUGAUCCGAAUCCAAAUUAAUCCGCACUAUUCAUCCAAUUUGAAUGUGAUCCGCACAUAAUCGGAUUGGAUGCAAGUUCAUAUUGCAUUCAUAUGACUUUUUAUCAAUUCGAACAAUCCAAAAUCUGAUCGUAUUAAUCCGAAUAUUAUCUGCAUCCAAUUUUGCCCAUCUCUACUACUUAUAAGCCCAAGUGACUCUCUUUUACUAAUUAACUAGAAAAUAGACCCGCGUUUCACGCGGCUUUGAAAAAAGAAUUUACUAUUAUCUUUUUUUUCUUACUUUACACUUGAUGAAAUAGAUAAAAAAAUAAGAAUUGAUUUUUUUUUAAAGAUGAGGCAGCCUUAUAAAAAAAAAAGUUAUUAGGUAGUAAUAUAAAUAAAGAAGCAACACAAGAUAAAGAAUAAAAUGAGAGAAUAUAUUAUAGAGAGAUUUUAUUCAUUCCAAUUGUGUGUGUACAAAAUAAAAAGAUGAGCUCUCCUUUUAUAGUUACAUAAUCACUCCAUGAAGUUAAUGAAAAAUUAUGGAUCAUAAUUUCUUGUGAGAUAGUGGGAGUUAUAGGGAAGCUAAAGGUUGCUAAUGGGAGAUAGUGGGGAGACUAAGAGAUAUAUGUUAUGAACAUUUAUAUUUAUUUUAAUAAAUUCAUAACACUCCCCCUUGGAUAUUCAUUACAAAAAAUAUGCAUCAUUAAAAUUUUUACAUAAUUGUUAUUGUAUAAUAACAAUCAAAUUAAUUAUGAGAAGAUGAAAAACCAAAUCUAAAAGAAAAUUUCUCUAUUUAUUAGAUAAUAGAGAAUAUACAAAGAAGAGAAAUGGUGAUGCCACAUCACCUCCUCAAGUCCCAACUUUAUAUAGAUAUAUAGAUAUGGGACAUUAUUUAAGAAUUCUUUCUCAAAUGAGGAAAAUUAUCAUACCAUUUUUAUCCAUUAAUUUAGAAUAAAUGCAUUUAUCAUCAUUAUUAUGUUUAAAUCCAUGCAACAUGAUCAUAGAAUCAAAAUUUUCAUGUUGUUGCGUUAGUGCUUAUUUAAGAUCAUAUAAUGACUUUAUUAAUUUACUAAAUUUAUUUUGUAAAUUAGUAAAUUUAUUUUUUCCUUUCUUUGUUGUAAAUCAUUUUGCAUCCAACCACCCUCUAAAGGCUUGGGCCAAUGUUUCAAACAACAAUGCAUCAAGUUCCAAUCUAAGUUAAGAUCCUGCUGAUGCAUCUAGUUGAUUAGAUAAUAAUGAGUCUAUCUCAUUACUUGUUGCCUCUUUCCACAAGGCUGCAUCUGUUGAAGCCAUAGCCUCACUGAGAGUUUAAAGAUCUUCUUCCAUAUUAAAUAGGGAAAUUAUCAUUCUACCAUCUUUCUUUUGACUUAUGUUCAUUUAACCACCACUAAAUUUCAACAUGUUUUCUGCAAUACCUUUCUUUUUAAAUUUGAAUCAAUUAGCCACUUUUACACUAACACUGUUAAAUAAUUUAAACAAAAUGAUAAUUUUACUUCUAAAUAAAUUAAAAUGCCAUUUUAUCUUAUAAAAGCUUUGAAAAAUAAAAAAAUUUUACUUACAAAAUAAUCCAAAAUAGAGGUGCUCAGCUUAUUUUUAUUAAAAAUUUAUAAUUUUGUAAAAUUUUAUUAAAAUAACUAAAUUUAUUUAUUAAAAAUAAAUCCCAAAAUUUUAAUGUUUUAGGGGAUGUUUAUUAAAUCCCAAAAUUUUGCAAUUAUUUUAUAAUUAUAAUUUUUAUUAAAAUAAAAAUUCUAAUUUGGGGAUUUAUUUCUUUAUUAAAUUUAGGGGUAUUUCUAUAAUUAUAAUUAUAAUUUUUUAUUUUUUAUAAAAUAAAAUGAUCUUUUAAUUUAUUUAGGGGUAAAUUUAUCAUUUUGUUUAAAUUAUUUAAUGGUGUUAGUGUAAAAGUGACUAAUUGAUACAAAAUUAAAAAGAAAAGUAGUGCAGAGAACAUGUUAAAAUUUUGUAGUAAUUGAAUGAGCAUAAGGCAAAAGAGUAGUGGUGAAAUGAUAAUUUUCCAAUUAAAUAAAACGGGUGUUCGAUUAAGAACUCUAUCUCUAUCUCCUCGUCCUAUCAAAUAACGUCAACCAUCCAAAAGAAAAAAAUAAAUUGGAAAAGUCCACGGGUAGCAAUAAUUUCUGGUCCGUUCCUGGACCUCCAUUAUCUGGCACUAUGAAUAAUGAAAAUGACAUUGCAAUCGUUAGGUAUCUUGGAAAAAUGACGAAAGUUUUUGGAGGGAGGUGGGGGAAUUGUCAAAAGUUCACACAAUGCGAAACAAGUGUUACAUCCAAUUAAAUUUUAUUUCAUUACCUCUUUUGCCUCAUAAAUAAUAGGAUCACCACGAGAUAAUGAUAAUAUCAAAUAAUGACAACCAUCCAAAUGUAUGAUGGGUCUUCCAAAUUUUGAAAAUGUCGUCAACAUCAAAUCUUCAAUGCCGAAGAAGGUAUAUGCCCAAAAAAUGACACGCAAGACCCACUCCACAGACUAAAUUGUCCUUGAUCAUAUGUAACAAACUUUGGCCUUAUGUGCCUGUGGUGACAUUAGACUGUUCAUUUUCAUUGUUUCUUACCUUCCAUUUACGCCCACUGUAGUAUUAUUUUAUUCACCAUUUUAGCCAUUUAAAUGAAAUUUUAUUUUUGUCAAAAAAUGAACUUUUACUUUUGUCAAAAAUAAAAUGAUACCCUAAAAAUUUAGAAAAAUAGUCACGUAGACCUCAAAUUUUUAAUAUAGGAUACCAAUACCCCUUUUGAUCAUAAUACUACUCUUAGUAGAUGGUAAAAAAAAAAAAAAGACUUCAAAAUUUUUUAUAAAAUUUAAAUAAUUAAUUUCAAUAUUAAAUUUUAAAAUGUGAAUUAAUAUAUUUGUAUCUAUAAAAUACUUGUAAUUAUUACAAAAAAAAUUUAAAUGAAUCCUUAGGUUAAAUAGAUUUUACAAUUAAUAUAAUAUUUCUCAUGUAUUAAUAAUAUUAAAAUUAUUUUAUGUGAUAUUGAAAAUAAUUUAAAUUUUUAUGUAUUUAUUUGAAUAUUAUGUCUCUAUUUAUUAUUAUUUGGUUUAAUAGAAUACGAGAUUUUAAAAUAUUAAAAUAUUUUUAGAUAUUGAAAUUAUUUUAAUAUGUAUACAUUAUUAUAUUCAUUUUAAUAUCCUACUUAUAUUUAUUAUAAAAUAUGAGAAUUAAUUUUUUUAGUUAAUAAAUUUAAAAAAUACUAUAAUAAAAAAAAAGGAUCUUAUUGUCCGGUAUUCACGACAUGAGGUACUACAAAAUUAUUUCCCCGGACGGGUGUGCUUUUCUUAUUUUUAGAAAGAAAAAUAAGUCAAUGGGUUUCAACAAUUUCUAGUCCUAUCUGCCACUAUGACUAAUGGAAACGACAUUGCAAUUGACAUUGCUUUUCGCAAUAUGACUAUUUUUUGGAGAAUCGUCAAAAGUUCACUCCACUAGAGAGUUUUAGGUGGGAGAAUUGUCAAGAGUUCACACCACAUGAAACUAAUGAUAGACUUAAUUUCGCUGUCAGUUCUUUAUUUAUUUAUUUUAUUUAUUUAAUACAUUAUUGUCUUGUUGGUAUUGUGUUGUAAAGAUAUAAAAGUAAAGUAAAAUAUUAAGGGUGCUGUUAAGUUACAACUGAUGUAACUUACAGUUUUUUAAAAAAUAAUGUAAAAAAUUUAAUAGGUGGUGGGACUCAAUUUUUUUUUUUUUGAAGAGAUCAUAAGUUACAGCACUUGUAACUUAACAAAAUCCAAAUAUUAGACAAUAAUACAUAUUAACAAUGCAUAUAAUUUGGGUCUGAUUUUUAAAAAAUUAUUUGAGUACCACCUAUCCUUAAGAUAUUAAUGUGAAUGUAUUUUAAUAGUAAAUAAUAAAUUUUUUUUAACUAUUAUUUGUAUUUCAUACAUUACAUAUUAUAUUUGUUUGAAUUUUAAGUUGUUGCUAAUAAAUAUUUAUGUUGUGAAAGUCGAAUUCAAUAGCUACAAAAGAAGAGAUAAUGGUAUUUUAUAUAGUUUUUAAGAAUACAAGGAUAAGCUGGAUAAUUGACUUAAGUUCUAAUGAUUAAAACAACAACUAUCCCUUAAAUUAUAAUGUCAAUUUCUUUAAUUAGAAUUUUUUUCAACAAUUGCUACAGUUUUUUAAAUAAUAAUGGGAGUUAUAAAUUAUUUAUAUAAAAUUUGUGUAGAAACUAAUGUAACCUAAAAGUGGUUGCUGAAUAACAAUAUUUGAAACUUUAGGUAAUUUUCAUAUCAGCCCUUUUUAUAUUCAGCAACUUUAGAACUUAAACAAACUUGCCCUCGAUCUUAAUUUAUUUACCCCAUUUAAACCCAUGAUGCAUGAUGACAUAAACAGAUUCUUGUGUGAUGAAAACAUCAAGAAAAGACAUCUCAUGUUUUAAUAUAACAGAAAAAAAGCGGUCCAUAAGUCUAUCCAUUAUUUUAUUUAUUCAGUACAAAUGGCCAACUUUAAAAAAUGAUAAAAGUCACACAACGCUUAAGUGAAAAUUAAAAAUGACAUUUUUUAAUACUCUCUGAGUCUCUCUCUCUCCCCCUUUUUUUUCUAAAUAAACCUUAGUUUAAAAUUAGAAGAAUUUUAGAUAUAAAAAUUUGUCAAUCACUUAACAGAAAAGUAGGGGAAUGAAAACAAAGGAGCCCCUGUUAUUAUUGGAAUAUUAAUUAUAGAUGUUAUAAUAUCUAUAACUUGUCGUGGUUCAUUGUAGCAUUCUAAGCCAUAUUCUAAAACUAGGAAAUAGAACCGCACUUCGUCCGGCUUUAAAAAAAAUUAGUAUUAUUUUUUUAUUCCUUUGUAAUUAAUGAAAUUGAUAAAAAAUAUGAAUUAUUUUUUUAAAAGAUGACGCAGUCUUAUAAAACUAAUGUUAUUUAUGAAAGUUAAUUAUUUUUUGUUAACAUUAAAAAUAUAUAUUAAUGUGUAUAGUUAAGUGUACACAACCUUUUCAUCAAUAAAAAUUAUGUUCACACUAAUCAACUCUCCAUUUUUCUUGGUAUAAAUGGCAUUGUUGAGGGAAGAUGAUGAAACCUUCCUUCUUAUAUUAAUUAAUUGAUGUAUUUUAAGCCACUAAAAUUUAAUUGUUGGCAUAAUAAAAUAAAUGAAUGUUUCAAAACUCAUAAUUAAUUAUUAUUAAUGGUUACAUAUUGUUGAAUUUAAAUAGAAAUAGGAAAAGACAUGUAAUCAUUUAUAAUUUAAUAAUUAUUUUAUAUUUUAAUAUUUUGUAAUGUAAUUAUUUUUUAAUUUCAACCAAUUUAUUAAAUAAUAGACAAUAUGAAAUGAUGAGAAAUGGUGAUGCCACAUCACCUCUUGUAGUCCCAACUUUAUAUAUAUGUAUAGAUAGAUAGAUAAAUUAAUUCAUGUAUUUUAUGCCACUAAGGUUUAAUUGCUAGCAUAAUAAAAUAAAUAAAUGUUUCAAAAGACUUAUAAUUAAUUAUUAUUAAUGAUUACAUAUUGUUGAAUUUAAAUAGAAAGAGAAAAAAAAGUACAAAGAAUAUUCACCAAUAUUUUAGAUAUUUUAUAUAAUAGAAAAUAUAAAAAGAUGAGGAAUGAUAUAUAUUAAUAAAGUUACUAUUUAUUAAAUGAGUUAAAUACAAUCAAAUUAAUUAUGAGAAGAUGAAAAGACAAAUUUAAAAAAAAAAAUAUCUAUUUAUUAGAUAAUAGAGAAUAUACAAAGAAGCAAAAUGGUAAUGCCACAUCACCUCCUCAAGUCUUAGCUUUAUAUAUAUAUAUAGAUUAGUAGAUUUGUUAAGAUUUUUAUUAUUGGCAUCAUUGUGUCAAUAUUAUUAUAAUUUAUUCAUUCUAUUGUAAUGAAAAUUUGUCUAUUCUUAGCUACUUAUUAAAUUAUCCUUAAUUUAUUACGAAUAUUUUUGGAGACAAAAGAAACACGUGUAUGUAGGAUUAAUGAUUGGAGAGUUGUAAGUAAAGGUGAUUGCUUCAUUGAGAAGCAUAUUAAAGAAUUAUGGAAAGUUGCACUGUUCCAGAAGCAUAUAUUUAUACUUCCCUAUUUGGACUUGUGAAGUGAUGAUCCGGCCGUAACUAUUGUGAAGCUUUCCUCAAGUAUUCUCAUGCAUACUUGAGGAAAGAUACAAAUUGCAUACAUGUCUAGGAGCCUUAUCAAAGGCGUUAUAUAACUUGUCCAAUUAAUUAAUUCUCUUAAGGGUCAUACCGUGCUCACUCAUUUCAAAAGCAAUUAAGGAUAAGAACUUUCAUCAUUAAUUGAUAUGGCCAGUGUAGAAAAAAUGCCAAGAUCAAAGCACAAGGAUAAGUUUAGAAUUACACUUUUUAAAUUUUGGUUAAUAAAUAAACGUCUAUAUGAAAAUGGAAAAUCUUUUUGGAAUAACUUUUCUUUUCUUUUCUUUUUUUAAUGAAUGUGGAUAUAAAAUUUUAAAAUCGCCAAACCGAAAAGAAAAACAGGGGAAUGAAAAGAGGGCUCUGUUUCUCCUCUGUUUCGAUUUUUUUAUUACUAAACAGGGGAAUGAAGAGAUCAGCUCUUGUCGCAAGUGCAAAUGCAGUUGGUUAUUCUACUUUUGCUAGUGAAGUUUUGGGCCUUGUCGUAAUUGCUGUAAUUGCGACAUCGGUGGUUGACAUGGCUUUCCUUGUACAGGUAUGUAUGAUUGUUUUUUUUUUUUUUGCACUUCUAAAUGGACACUGUUGAAAAGCUUAAAAUUGAACUGAUAAUUUUGUUUGGAAGCUUAGAAAAUUCAUGAGAAAGUGAAAUAGAAUAUUCUGGAUUUCUUACAUAAAAAAAAACAGAAUUAAAGCAAGGUACACAACUAUAACAGAAUCAAAAGCGUGCUUUACUAAUUGGCUGAGCUGGCAUAUACUUCUUUAACUAACAAUGCUGCUGACUGGACUUUAGCUCACACAUGCUUAUUGUGGAGCUACUCUUACUUCACACGUGCUCAGUGUGCUUCCUUAACAGACACAAGGGAAAAGACAUGAUUUUGAGAUUAAUUUAUACCAUAAUAAUAAUAAAGCUAGAGUAAUGAUAUGAAUCAUUAAUUGCUACAAAAUAAUUUGCUAGAUAGCGCCAACACUUAAUUGAUACUCACCAUUUCAUUGAACAAUUGUUUUAUGGUGUCAUUGAGGUUGCCUUCCCAACAUCCUUCAUCAUCAUCAUCUUCUUCAUCCUCAUCAUCUUUUUCUUCGGUGAGUUUCACUUUGUUUAGCUUUGGUGUGUCUACGACUCCUUGUGAGAAAAUCUUCAUCUUUGGGCACUGUCUCGCAAUUACUUGUUCCAAAGGAUGGGAAUUGAAGAGUGUAAUUACCCCGAACAAAGCUUGUUAAGCCUGUCAACCAAUGAAGUGUCAAGUAGUUUCAUUUUCUCGGAAGAACAAUGCAAGCCCUUUCACUUCUCUCAACCUGCAAUUGUUAUGAUCUUCCUUCUAUCAUUUUGCAAUCAGCNNNNNNNNNNNNNNNNNNNNNNNNNNNNNNNNNNNNNNNNNNNNNNNNNNNNNNNNNNNNNNNNNNNNNNNNNNNNNNNNNNNNNNNNNNNNNNNNNNNNUGAGAGUGUCACACAUUUAUCAACCUGUGACACUUCGAUACUUCUAGUCCCCACAGAUUUUCCAAAUGCCACGAAGGUGGUACUAAUUUUUGCAACUUACUACGUUCCGAUAUUUCUAGACUUCCCAUGUUUGCAAACGCUUUGUUGGAUUCGUCAUUUUCCUUCCAGAGAUGCUGCACUUUGUGUAAUCUAGAUAGCUUUAACUCCAUCAAUUGAGGGAAUGCAACCUGAAAAUCAACAAAAUUAAGUUGUAAAUGAAAAUAUGUAUCCAAUCUCUGGAGUCUUCCCCUGCAUAUUUUAUGGACAAGAUUAAUCACGACAUUUUAUAUUUUUUUUCCAAAUUAGUAUGCUUUGCAGUAGGUUCCUAAAUAUAAAUAUCAAAUCGAUUACCCUUUGAAACACAUAAAUGAAAUCUGAGGCUAAAUCCAAUAUGAAUUAGCUAGGAAAACAGAGAUGUAACACACAUAAUUAAUAUAGUUCAUCACCUCGUGUUACCAGGCAUCCAAUUAAUUUCAGACAUUUUUAUAAUUCAUACUAUAAAGUUAGUUAAUAACGGAGGUUAUAUUGUUAAAUCAGAUAUAAAUUAAGACGACGUGCAAAAAGAUGAGUCAUUAAAUUUGAUUUAAUUCUAAUGAAAUUACAUCUAUGCGAACGAAAGUGAAGGGAAAAAUAAUAAUAAUAAUAAUCACAUUUUCAUCGAAGAGGGGUUGUACUUGAUGAGCCAGCAAGAAGUUCUCUUCUGAUGUUAAUUUUUGAGGUUCCUUGUUAUCUGUUGUCACGUGCACUACAGAGUUGGAUAUGAAUGUUUCCAUAUCAGGGCAAUUCUCAAUAGUCAGACGUUUCAACUCAGGCAUUUCAAUUAUAUUCUCAGUGAAGUUGGGAAUCUUUUGAGUUUUGGAAGAUCAAUGAGCCUUAGCUCGAAAAAGCUUAGGAAACAGGGGGCCUAUAUGUUCUUUGUCAACACUUAGCUCUUCCAAAUGAAGCACCUCUGCUAGCGAAUCACAAUUCCUCACUUCCAGGUCCAUCAAAUUGUUCAAGCACCGUAGCAGAUUGGCAGGAAUAGCACUCGACAUAUUCGUGCAGUCAUCCACCACCAGGUGUCCUAAAUUGUUGAAGAAGCUGACAGGCAGUGCUUGGCCAUGCCAUAUUUCUUGCAAACGUGGAAAAUGCGAGAGUUGCAAAUACUUUAUGUCACGAAAUCCAAUCUGCACAAACCAAAACAAUUGCACUGGAUAUAUACAAUUUUUUACUUUUUGAAAGGCACAGACAUAUAUACAUUAAACUUACAUGUUUUGUGCUUAAAUGUGCAAGUGCAAGGGAGAUGCAUGAGCAAUUUUGAUGAAUCGAUUCACACAAAUCAUUUCUUUGUAACACUUUUGUAUAGUGGAAUUAAGAUUGCCUUCACGAUCGUGCAAUUCACCCUCUUCCUUUUUAGUCACUUGCACUUUGUGCAGCUUUGGUGUGGAUAAGAUUCCCAGGGAAAAAGUCUUCAUGUUCGGACAAUGUGUCACAGAUACUUGUUCCAAUGAUGGGAAUUCAAGAGUGUAAUUCUCCAAGCAAAAGCUGGCAAGCCUUGGUAAAUCAUCAAGUAUCAAAAGUUUUAAUUUGCUGAAAGCAAUACGAUUCUCCUUCGCUUCUUCUCCAACAUGUCCUAUGAUUUCUUCUAUUUUUUUGCAGAUUGAUACAUUAAGAUUCACUAAAAUACCCGGAAUUCCAACCUGAAAAUAAGCAAAAGAGUGUGUGUGUAUUAAAAAAGUAAAAAUUAAGAGUAUCAUUCAACUAGGUUCAAAGUAUGUUUAAAUCAUACAAUUAUACGUUUUAUAAACAUAACAAACCAUGAAAUGGCUACUAGAUAAUUUUUGUUAAACAAAAAAGGCAACAAGAUAAGUAAAUAAAUAAAAGCCAGAUAAACAAAGAUAAUAAAAACGCAUUUACACUAUUUAGUAUUAGGAGCGUAGAAAGAAUUUAAGGCAAUUUCUAAAUAUUUUAGACUUAUUUUGCAUUUCGAUGCAAAUUUUUAAAUAAAUUUGAAAUUGCAACUAUUCCUUUAAAAAAAAACUCAACCAAAAUGCUGCUUUUUCCAUUUUCCUUGGUCCCUUUUUUUUAUGUAUAUUAAAAAAUGCAAAAAAAAAAUGGAAAAGACUUCCCAAUACUGUCAACGUAGGACUGUUGUAAAGCGGGUCUUUAUUAAGUACUUCCAUGAAUUUAUGAUUAAUUAAUGUCAUAAUCAAUUCAUAACUAAACUAGAGAUAUUAAUUAAAUUUGAAGACUUUUCUUUUUCUUUUUUUCCAAACGAAAUGUCAAGAAUUAAGGAAAAGAGAAAUAUAUAGAUGAAUUUGUGAACCUAUAAGAUGAGUGACUAUCCUUUAAUUUUUGAAAAUCGUACUUAUUAAGAUAUGAGAAAAACAAUUAAAUUGAAUUAUAUUAUGCUGUUGAAUCGUGUUUAAAAAAAUUAUAUUGUUGAUUCUAAUAAUGGCGAACCUAAAAACUGGACUUAAAACGUAGAUUUCAGAGUGGUGGUUCGAAGUACAAUACUUGAAAUAAAUAAUUAGUGCCUGAAUAUCAUUCGUAAACACAAAAAUGGUUAAAAAAUUGUUGGAUGUAAUUUGAAAAAAAAGAUUCGAAAUGAAUACAGCAACCUUACCAAUGGAGGAAAAAUAUUCAUUAGGUUAUCACACCAAGAUAUCUUCAAAUUCUUCAAUUUGCUGAAAGACUCUGAAGCAAGCUGGUGGUGCCAUAUUCUUCUCAAAUUAUCCAUCCACCAAAUAUGUAAUUCCUCCAACUUCGGAAGUCGUACCUGGCAGUUAAAGGUUAAAUAACUAAUUAAUCGGCAUAAUCUAUUGAUAACCAAAUUAGAGGCUGAUACUAACUAAAUUUGAAGACUCAAGGAAAAGACAAAUUAAAUAUUGUGGCUAAAAUUAAUUUAAAAAAAAAAAAAACCUUUUCGUCAAAGAGAGGUGGAGAUUGCAUUUCAGAAUGAAGGGUGUCUGCUGGUGAGCUCGUAGAGAUGAAUCUUAACAUAUUAUUGCAACCACCAAUCUCGAGGUUUAGUAAAGAAGGGAAUUCAACAACUAAAUCUGAAUGAAUAUGUCCCGUAUUGGCAAAGCUCGUUAGUUUUGGAAGCACACAAAGCCGUAAGGAGUGUAGUUUAGGAAAAACCUCUAACUCAAUCAACUUUCCUUCAUCUCUUCCUCCUAACCACCCUGUGGUGUCGACUACCCCUUCCAUCGACUUACAAGAUCUUAUCACAAGAUGUUGGAGUUGCAAAAGACUAUUAACCAUAGAAUAUGAAAACAGAUACUUCAGACGAUCACAACUUUCCACGGUCAUUUUUGUUAAAUUUCCACAAUAAGACACUCCCUGAAACUGUUCGGGCCAUAAUUUUUCAAUGGUUGUUAACCAUAUAAGUUUCAACUCCUCCAAGCGUGGAAAAAUAACCUGAAGCAAAACGGUACGCUUUUGUUCCGUCAAUUACAACUGUCUAAUAUAAUAAUCUUUUGAUGAUUGAAGAUCAAUCGUGAUAAUAUAUUAAUUUAUUAAUUAUAAAACAGAAAAUUAUCACCUUGUGAACAGAAUCAUCCUCUGCAAUGAUUUCUGUCAAUCCCUGAGUAGCUGUUGGCUUCUCCAUGUCGGGCCCUAUAAAUGAACAAAAACAAUCUAUAAUUAACCUCUGUCCUUUUUUUUUUAAAAAAAAGAGAAAAAAGAAUGAGCCAAUGUCAAUAAUCCUACCAAUAAUUAAUUUCAACACUUACCAAUAAUCAUUUUCAAAUCAUCGCAGUUUUCCACUUCUACUUUUUGAAGCCGCAAUAGGUUUUUGGCCAUGAAGAAUGAGAAGAGAUGCUUCAAUUUGUCACAAAAAAAUACUUUUAUAAUCCUUAAGUUGCUGAAAGAUUGAUCUUCUCUGAGUUGGCUGUAGCAUAUCGUUUCCAAAUUAGUUAAACCAAUAAGAUACAAUGUCUCCAGCAAGGGAAAGACUUUGCAACGAGCUCGUCCAAUUGAACCGACAAUAUGUAAAAUCUCAGGACAGCCUGCUACUAGAAGAUGCUCCAAUUGUGGAAAACCUUCCCCAUCGUCUAAUUCAUGAACAACACUCGGAACACCAUUCAAUGUUACUAGACGGAGAUCUUCAGUUCUUUUUAGCAACAUUUUCAUCCCAUAAUUCUCCAAAAGAAUGCUAACGUUUUCUAGCUCCUGGAGUUUCAUUGAUCUUGAUGUUUCAGAUGUCAAUUUUUCUAGCUCCGUGAUAACUAUGGAUGCUGAUGCUCUAGAUGUGGCGAAGGACACAAGUCCAUUUCGUUGCACUUUUCCUAUACAUAUCUGAUACCUUUGCAAUUCCACAGAGACCAAAUCCUGCGGCAGAAUUUCGGGAUCCGGAACAUCUAUCUCCAAAGUAGUUAGCUUUGACAACCCCUUCAACUCGACAAGACUGGCAUUACUUCCUCCUUCAACCUUAUCCCACUGUGAAAAGCUGCAACCCAUGUACAGUUCUUCUAGUCGAGAUAAUUUGGAUAUGAUGUUAGGAAAUUGGUGGGUGCAGCAGGACCGCAGCUAAAAUAAAAUUGGAAAUAAAAUAAAGAACAAGCACACUAGAGGACACAAGAAAAUUACGUGGUUCGGCUUUUAGCCUACGUCCACGGGCGAAGACAGAAGGAAAUAUUUUACUAGUGAAAAGGAGUUACAAGUAUUGUAGUAUUUUAGCUCACUUCCCAAAAUCCCAAUACACCCAAACUCUCAAAACACUAAACACUCAAGAGUUUAUUAAACUCUUAAAACUCUCAACACUCAAAGAAAGCAAUGCUUCUCUCUCGAUGGAAUUGGAUGAAAAUGAAUGAGGAAGCUCUUCCUUUUAUAGCCAAAAAAUGGCUAUUAAAUUAAUAUAUAUAUGUAUAUAUUUCAAAUGUAGUUACCAACUUCUUCUUUUUCUCCAUUUGGAUGGCACCAUUUUCUUUGGCCGGCUGCACCAUUUUCUUCUUUCAAAUGUCAAACCCUUCUAGAUGCAGCCAUGCCAAACACUUCUAGAUGCAGCCAACUUUGACAUAUGACAUUCGGUGUUAUCACCUCAAGCCUCCUACAAUUGCUCAAAUCCAGCAACUGUAACCGCGUCAAUUGUCCAAAUUCAAGUGGCAACCGCUCAAUAUCGGAACCUCGAAAGCUAAGAAUCUCUAAUUUCUUUAGCUGUCCAACUAUUACUAUAUCUUUUAGUCGGCAAUAUUCUAAACACAAUGUUUGAAGGUUAAUGAGGCGACCAAGUGAUGAAGGUAAUGAAGAGAAGUGAAUUCCAGUAAAAUUCAAAACUCUGAGUCCUUCCGUCCCAUCAAAAAAGUGGUCUGAAAUUGGCAUAGAGCCACCACCCUUUUCAAGCAACAAAAGUAACUCGAGACGGGGACAUUGCAACCUUUCAGGAAGCACUUGAAUACCUCUAUAAGGUAAAGAAAUAGCAAUUGGACCUUCCUGUACUGUCUCUUCCAUCUUUUUGUCCAAGUCGGCAACAUUUGGAAUAUUAAACAUGAGCUCCUCUUUUGCAAUUGAUACGGCAACUACACGAAUGACGUCAUGCAUUUUGACUUCAUCUUCAGCAUCACCGUCCAACAAUAAGCAUGAAGAUUUGAGUUUGCUGAUCAACGUAUGCACUGUACUCCUUGCUU
rnacentral:lncRNA from 1 species